rnacentral:rRNA from 1 species
UACGGAGGGAGCUAGCGUUGUUCGGAAUCACUGGGCGUAAAGGGUGCGUAGGCCGCACGGUAAGUCAGAGGUGAAAUCCCGGAGCUCAACUCCGGAAUGGCCUCCGAUACUGCCGUGCUCGAGGACUGGAGAGGAGUCUGGAAUUCACAGUGGAGCAGUGAAAUGCGUGGAUAUUGUGAGGAACACUAGUGGCGAAGGCGAGACUCUGGACAGUUCCUGACGCUGAGGCACGAAGGCCAGGGGAGCAAACGGG